GGGUUUGCGGUCCUUGGGGUUUGCGCCUUUCCCUUGGUCCCCCGCGCUACUCUGUCCGGACCCGCCCAUUCCCUGCUCCCCUGGACACUUUUAGGUUGGUCUCGGCCCGUUUGAAGACCAGGAAGUUGAUAAAUCGCGAGGCCAGCCGCUGAAAGACGGCGGCUCGGGUGGGACAGUCGCCAGGGAUGGCGGAGCGUGAGGAUGAAGCGGGUGUCGGGGCUGCUCUCCUGGACGCUGAGCAGGGUCCUGUGGCUCUCGGGCCUCUUUGAGCGGGGAGCUGACCGGCAGCCCCGGAUCAUGGAAGAGAAAGCGCUAGAGGUUUAUGAUUUGAUUCGAACUAUCCGGGACCCAGAGAAGCCCAAUACUUUGGAAGAACUGGAAGUGGUAACGGAAAAUUGUGUGGAGGUUCAGGAGAUAAAUGAAGAGGACUAUUUGGUUAUUAUCAGAUUCACGCCAACAGUACCUCAUUGCUCUUUGGCAACUCUUAUUGGGCUGUGCUUAAGAGUAAAACUUCAGCGGUGUUUACCAUUUAAACAUAAGGUCAGACUACCAGCAGCGACCACGGGAGCAUGGCGGACAUCGGGAGCAUGGCGGAUGAGGACCUGUUUAUGGAAUGUGAGGAGGAGGAGCUGGAGCCAUGGCAGAAAAUCAGUGAUGUCAUUGAGGAUUCUGAAGUUGAAGAUUAUAAUUCAGUGGAUGAAACUACUACAGUUUCUGAGAGCCAGCAGCCAGUCUCAGCUCCAGUGCCCAUCGCUCUCUAUGCUUCUGUUGUUAAGCACGGGGCACAGAACAGCGGCAGUACAAAGAGGACUCUUGUCAGACUAAUUGUCGAGGACAAUCCCCAAAUAAAGCGUCGUCGUCGAUAUAAUAUGCCUGAUGACCAAGAAUUGCCACCAUAUGUUUCUCCAUCCGAAAGAAGGCGACGUCGUCUACAGAAUAUGUCUGAAGAAGAACGAUUGGCACAACGUAACUCUGAAGCCGAAAGAAGCCGGCGUCGUCGACAGAAUAUGUCUGAAGAACAAAAAUUGGCACAACGUACCUCUGCAGCCGAAAGAAAGCGACGUCGUCUACAGAAUAUGUCUGAAGAACAACGAUUGGCACAACGUACUUCUGAAGCCGAAAGAAGCCGGCGUCGUCGACAGAAUAUGUCUGAAGAACAAAGAUUGGCACUACGUACUUCUGCAGCCGAAAGAAAGCGACGUCGUCUACAGAAUAUGUCUGAAGAACAACGAUUGGCACAACGUACCUCUGAAGCUGAAAGAAGUCGGCGUCGUCGACAAAAAAUGUAUGAAGAACAGUCAUCGACAAGUACUACCAGUAGUGGUAGGAACUGCCUUCAUAGCGAAAAUGAGUUGGAAAUCUACAUUUCUGAAGGAACCCACUCAACAGAGGAAGACAUCAACAAGCAGAUAAAUGACAAAGAG